rnacentral:rRNA from 1 species
CCCUUAGAUGUUCUGGGCCGCACACGCGCUACACUGAAGGAGGCAGCGUGUACUCCUGGAUCGAAAGAUUUGGGUAACCCGCGAAUCUCCUUCGUGCUAGGGAUUGAGGUUUGCAAUUAUCCUUCAUGAACGAGGAAUUCCCAGUAAGCGCAAGUCAUCAGCUUGCGUUGAUUACGUCCCUGCCCUUUGUACACACCGCCCGUCGCUCCUACCGAUUGAAUGGUCCGGUGAAGCGUUCGGACCGUGGCCUUUGGACGGUUCGCCGUCUGUUGGCUGCGGGAAGUUCGUUAAACCUUAUCAUUUAGAGGAAGGAGAANUCGUANCA